AAGUCGUAACAAGGUUUCCGUAGGUGAACCUGCGGAAGGAUCAUUGUCGAAACCUGCACAAGCAGAAAGACCCGCGAACCCGUUCACAAACGCAGGGGGGGCGGCGCUCGGCCCAGAGCCGACCUCGUCACCCCGAACCAAACAAAACCCCGGCGCGGAUUGCGCCAAGGACAAUGAACAAUAGCGCGCCCCGCGCCCGUCGGUCUCCCGAUGUGCGCGCGGGGCAACGUGUCGUUUCGAUACAUCUGAACGACUCCCGGCAACGGAUAUCUCGGCUCUCGCAUCGAUGAAGAACGUAGCGAAAUGCGAUACUUGGUGUGAAUUGCAGAAUCCCGUGAACCAUCGAGUCUUUGAACGCAAGUUGCGCCCGAAGCCUUCGGGCCGAGGGCACGUCUGCCUGGGCGUCACGCACCGCGUCGCCCCCCACCCCGACCAGAGGGGCGUGGGGCGGACCGUGGCCCCCCGUGCGCUCCCCGCUCGCGGUCGGCCUAAACGCAGACCCCGUGGCCGCGAAGAGCCGCAACGAUUGGUGGUUUACUCGUGGCCAGGCGCCCCGAGCAUCGCGUCGCGGACUCGGCGGACCGCGGGAGCUCAAAAGGACCCAGGGGAGGCGCCCGCCGGCGCCUCCCAACCGUUGCGACCCCAGGUCAGGCGGGACU
rnacentral:rRNA from 1 species